CACGUAGGGCGCAAGCGUUGUCCGGAAUUAUUGGGCGUAAAGAGCUCGUAGGCGGUCUGUUGCGUCCGCUGUGAAAACUCGGGGCUUAACCCCGAGCCUGCAGUGGAUACGGGCAGACUAGAGGUAGGUAGGGGAGAAUGGAAUUCCCGGUGUAGCGGUGAAAUGCGCAGAUAUCGGGAGGAACACCGGUGGCGAAGGCGAGUCUCUAGACAACUCCUGACACUGAGGCACGAAAGCUAGGGGAGCAAACAGG
rnacentral:rRNA from 1 species